CUCUAUAUGAAGUUAUAUAUAGUCUAGCCUGCCCACUGAACAUUUUAAAGGCCGCAGUAUAUUAACUGUGCAAAGGUAGCAUAAUAAUUAGUUUUUUAAUUGAAAGCUUGAAUGAACGGCUGGACGAGGAAAAAUCUGUCUCAAAACUUGUUUUAAAAAUUUACUUUUAAGUAAAAAGGCUUAAAUAAUUUUAAGGGACGAUAAGACCCUAUAAAUCUUUAUAAAUUAGUUUUAAAGUAUUUUAAUGAAGUGUUUAAUUAAUUUUAAAAUCAUAUUUAUUUUGUUGGGGCGACAAGAAUAUUUAAUAAAAAAAACUAUACUAAUUUAAAACAUAAAUUUUUGAAUUAAAUAAUAGACCCUUUAAAUAGUAAGGAGUUUAAAAUUAAGUUACUUUAGGGAUAACAGCGUAAUUUUUUUAAAGAGUUCCUAUCGACAAAAAAGUUUGCGACCUCGAUGUUGAAUUAAAAUUUCUUGUUAGUGCAGAAGCUGUUCAAGUAAGUCUGUUCGACUUUUAAAAUUUU
rnacentral:rRNA from 1 species